GGGGCUCGAACUCACGAACCGUGAGAUCAUGCCCUGAGCCCAAGUCGGAGGCUUCACCCACUGAGCCACCCGGGUGCCCCUCCCUUUUCAUUUUGAACACCGGCAAGCAAACAGACGAAAUCGAGAGGACAGUCUAAGGCAGCGCAGGUGCCCACCCCCCGGGGCUAGCGGCGGCCUCCAGCUUGCCUUGUUUGCUUGUUUCUCUCUUUCUCGGUUUCUCCCUCCCUUGGUCCUUCUAUCCUUCGCUCCCUGCUUUUCUCGCUCUCUCGCUCUCUCUUUCUCUCUCUCCUCUUCCCUUUCCUUUGUUUUUGCUGAAACAGUUUACAGGAAGCGUGCGUACCAUUUUCUCCCUACGUGCUUCAAGAAGGAAGGACAUUUCCUCCCAUGACCCAGUGCCGUUAUCCAUCCAACCCAUGCCCGGCGCGGGCUCCUGCUGUCGUCUGAGAGCCGCUGCACAGUCACCCUCCAGGCCCCCACUGCCUUUGACUCCUCUUUCCUUCAUGCCAGCAUCUCAUCGAGGACUUCGUUACACUUGACCAUUGGCCGUCUGGUUAUCUUUUCAUCUGAAGCAGCCUCUCUCCCCGGCCUCGUCUUUUCCCCCCGGCGCUGAGACACGCAGGAGACCGGGAACAGCCCACCUUCUAGAUUGGGCCGGUUGCUCCCUUGUAGCUAGUGUCUUUAAGUGGUCCCUCUGUCCCCAGUAUCCUUUAUAAACCGGGUGCGGGGGCACAAGGCUGCACUAGAAUUGGGUCAAGCUUUGGCAAGAGCCUUGUGUCCUCCCUGGGGUGGCAUCGUCACAGCAGGCGUGUCCGACCUCUGUCCAGCAGCCGUUCGCUCAGCUUUCUGUCUCGGGACCAGCGGUAAGCAGGGGAAGACAUCUUGACAUCGUGCGGCUAUGCACGCCUCCUGGGUCUGUCACCCGGCGGUUUUCGCGUCCACUCCGCCUUAAGGGAUUCUUUCUAUCUGAUUAACGUCAACGGCUUCGUCGGACACAUGAGUUUAUUUCUUCGGGGCUAGUGUUGGUGGACAGCUCGUCACUGGCGAUAAGGGACCUUGCGGCAAUGUAAAUGCUCCGGGACCCCGUCCCCCCAUCCUCUCUCCUGUAGCAUGAGUAAGCUGGAGUCACCCACGCAGCAAAAGCAUCCUGGGCCCGCUCCCCACCAGCCACUGCCUGGCUCUUCCGCUUCCCCACCGGGGAAUGGCACAUUCUGGCCUCCAGCUGGGUGCGGAGCACAUCCUUGGAGCAAACUUUCUUUGGCCCCGCUGUUUCCUGGCACUGAGAACCGAUGCGGAGGAAUCAGACGCUGCCCACUCUGUCCCUGACAGACUCUUCCUGCCCUUGGUGGAGUGGCGUGUGUGUGUUGGGAGCUUUUCUGUAAGGACCCUGACCUGAGAGGAAAAGGGGUCAGCCGUGGAGCUUCCGGGGAUGGCUGGAAAGUCGGGGUGCAGGGGCCCUGCCCCCAUGGGAAGAAAGGAAUGAGAAAGAGGAAGCCAAGGCUCGCCGGAGGUGGGCAGGACUCCCUGUCUGGCGGCCCACCGCCCAGGUGAGGGGAGAGGGCGGCAGCUCGGUCUGGGAAAGGGUUAUGGGUUGGAUCGUGUCCCCCAAGAAAGAUGUGUUCGAGUCUUGCCCGCCAGCAGCUGUGACUGGGACCUAACCUGGAUGAGGUGGUGCUGGACGAGGGCGGGCCUCAUCUCGCACUUGGCUUUUGCCGAUCCCCUUAGCUUGUUUGUACCCCCGCGAUGGCAGCCAUUCUCUUGAAGGCCGGACCCAAGGUGAGCGGGGCUCCCUCACCGUCUCCGUCCGCCCCCUCAUCAUGCCCCAGCCUCACAGCUCUGGCAACCCCGAGUCUCCCCUUAGCUGCUGAGUUCUCUGAGUCCCCACCCCCACCCCCACCCCAUGUUUGGUUGCCGCCCGCCCAUCCUGCGACCCAUGGGGCUGAAUUCCCCUGCAGCCCCGGGAAUGUCUCAUUUUAGGUGCCGGCAUCGUUUGCAGACGUGCCCGUGUACUUCAUCAAGACGGGACGGAAGCUUCUGGACCUCAGUCAAAGGAUCCUCUACAAGAGAGUGUUGCUGGAGAACUAGCGCCAUUCGGUGUCACUGGGUAAGGACCUCACACCCACGUCCAGUCGCCACGGCUACUGGAUCUCUGAACGGAAUCGCUUGUUGGUUACUGUAAGCCCGAGAAUACGUGCAUUGACCCGAAGUGGUAACCCCAAGGGCCCCCAUCGUAGUACUUUUGCAUAGAAAGUCGUGGGUUGACUAGACCUCUUCUACCCAAAAGGUGGACGCACGUUAUCCUUGAAUGUGUGUGUGCGCUCUCUGAGACUUCAUUUAUUUUUAUCAAGGCUGACCUGUACAGAGUUUAGCAGUUUCUGUUCCUUGAGCCGAGCCAGGCGAAGAGGCCCAGGAGAAGAAAAGCGUUUGGUUUUGCAGCCUGAAUCAAUCCAGAAAGGAGCUGGGGUGCCCCCCCCCCACUGCGACUCACUGAGACCCACUGCCUGCGGGGCUGCAGGGGGCCCGUUUCCUCCAUUUCUUCUCUCCAGAUUUAACCUCUACAAUCUAACCACACACAGGGAGACUACUUUCUUCCCCUUGGUUCUUUCUGACCCUCACUGGGCAGAUGCAGGGUUCACGGCGCAGCUCCGGAAUCGUCAGUCGAUGCCACAUGUCCCAGCAGCCUCCUGACCUCCCUGCAGGCCAAGGAAGAACACCGUUAUCCUGCUGGCCCCAAUCACCACCUCCUUGGGGCUCCCCGUGCCCGCCUGGCCCCCAUGCAUCCAAAGUCCAUGCAUCCAGAGUCCAUGGCGGUGCCCAUGAUGCUGCUCAACCUCGUGGACCAGCUGGGGGAGGCGGACGAGGAGCUGGCGGGCAACUACGCGGAGCUGGGGGACUGGUGCGCCCAGAGGAUCCUGCAGCACGUCCAGGCCUCUGUGUGUUCCAGGACAGCCACUUUGGUGGUGGUAGCAGGAUAUCCUGCUUGGAGAUGGUCGGACUUGGCAGGUGCCUGGAGGAUGAACUUCAGGAAGGUGUGGGAGAUGCAUUUGGCCAACUGUCACUAUCAGGGAGUGAACUUCUAAAAUUCAAGAAGAAUUUGGAACUCUGUCUCCGAAUGCUACUGUUGUUAUAAUUUUGUCGUCCACUUUCACCCUCCGACUGUCAGGGUCGGCCUUCCGCGACAGGGGCCAUGGUCUCAGCUGCCGGCACCUGUUUCUCGGGUUCCCGCGCCAUGUGCUGUCAGGCUUUACGCCGGCAGCUGCAUGAUGCCUAACGCUUUUCAAGCAGCCCACCGGACUUGGGAAGAAAAGUUUCAGUAGCAUGUUUUCCAGAAGGAACUUUGUGCCUAGGAUAAACAGUUUGGUCAAAUCUCAGAAAAUCUUUGUGUUUAGUGACUAUAGCAGUCCUUGUGACAGCAACUAGUUCCCUAAAGCACGUUAUAAAGUCUGGUGUGAAGCGUGUUUAGUCGAGAUCAAAAGUGUUUUAAGAGCCUUGUUUUUCCCUGAAACUUGGUUCCUUUCUUCAUGUGUUACAUUCUUUAUUAUUUCAAGAUCAGAGAUGAUUUAUCAAAGAAACAGUUGUAUACAAGUUGGGAGAUAGUUCCUCCUGGAAGUUCUGCUUUAUUUCAUCCUGGCAAAAAUGAGAAUUCUCCAUAGGACUUUUUCCGAAAACACUCGCGGCCUACGUGGAAUCAAACAGCUGAAUGAGGCAUCCCAUUCUGAAAGUCGUUCCACUCAGUGCUACGAUGGGGUCCUCAGGGAAGUGGAGGGUCCCGGAGCAGCUGAGUGAAACUGAGGGCGGGAGCGAGGGGGCCAGAAACCGAGGGCACGUUAAAAAGCAGGAAACCCAAACCACUAUGCGAGUCUACCAAACCAGCGAGUGAGGAAUUAUUCUGUGUCAUAUUAUUAUUAACAACACAUAAACACUCUCUAUUUUAUAUGCUUUUAAGUUUAUUGUGAAAUACGCAAGCAAAACGUGAAUAUAAUUCUCAUUUUAAAACAUUAAACAAAUAGGAAUAAAACAAAAGCUCCUUUUAGCCAUUCUCUAGGCCCCUCUCAAUUCCCCCUUUCCCGGAAGAUCCUUCCCGACAUUUCCUGCAUGUUUACAUGCAUAUAUGUACGGACACACUGGAGAGUUUCUCAUACUAUAUGCUUAUUCUGCAACUCGCUCUCUCUCCCAAUUCCCCCUUUCCCAGAAGAUCCACAAGGAAGCGUGCCUGGGAGAGAGUUUUUAAUUAUAGCUCUGUACUCCACAGCAUGGAUAGAGCAGACUUUGUUCCCAGCUUCCCCUCCUCGAUGCACAUUUAGGGGUCCUGCGGGGUUUCGCUGAUGGGCACAAUGCCGCAUGGACACUCUUGCCCCAUCACACACACACACACACACACACACACACACACACACGAACACUGCUGUAAGAUUGAGUCAGGGAGGGCAGCGCUAGAUGGCUCCAACCAAGAGACCACCAAUGAUGCAGCUAGUGGCUUAGAGAAGACUGAACAUUGUUACUCGCUCUCAUAAGGGUCAGCCGAGCACUCCAGGUUGAAGGGACAUCUCUGUUCCACGCCGUCACUCAGGAAGCCCGGUGCUUCUCAGGCCAUUUGUGGUGAAAGACCAGUUUAUGUCCACCCACCCCCCCAAUCCAUUUUGCCCAAGGCUUUUGUAAAAUGCAAUAAAGAUAUCAUGGUGAUGUUGAGUUGCUA